AAUAAAUGAUGGUUUAUUGCUUGCCCGACAGCCACGUCCUGAUCACAUGACUGCUUGCCUAACUGAAUGCCAUAUCUACAAACUUUCUGAGUGCUGGAAGGACUGCCAGAACUGCCUGCCUGACCCCUGUACAAAAAGGCUCAUGGCCUGUCCUUGUUGGAUUCAUGGACUGCCUUCUGGACUAUGGCUUCUACGUGCCUGAAUGCUGGACACCCGAGUGCUAAACGCCCUGCCUCCCUGUAUGCUGGGCGGAUCGAUGCCCUGCCUGCUUCAGGUUGGACGCUAUGUCUUCCCUCCCAGCCUUCCUGAGUGUUGGACGCACUGCCUGCCUGUAUGCUGGGCGUAUCGACUCCCUGCCUGCCUCAGUACCGGUCGCAUUGCCUCCCAGCCUGAGUGUUGAAGGCGCUGCCUGCCUGUAUGCGAGGCGCACUGAUUCCCUACCUGCCUGAGUGUUGCACGUACUGAUUCCCUGCCUGCCAGCGUGUUGCACGCAUUGCCUCCCUGCCAGCUUGGGUGCGGGGCGCACGGACGCGCUUAGCUUGCCAGGGACGCACGGCUGGACGUCCGCCGGCCCUGGUUGGCUCCUCCAGCCCGCACCUGUUCCUGCGGCUGCCCCUAAACACCCGACCGCGGCUGCCGCCUCGUGGGGGUCGAGCGAGAGGGAGGGGAGGAGGGAGAUACUCUCGGGCCGCCCGCACUGGGCAUGCUCAGAGAGCCCGGCACAGCUUUCGGCGGCUGUGUAGGCAGCUGGAGAGCAGAGCCGUGACCGCGAGCUGGCCCGACUGAGAGACGCCGCACCUCCCCGGCUAGGCCCCGCCGCGCCUCGGCCGGCCGUGGGCGUCCACCCAGCCAGGUCCCGCAGCCCGGCCGCCCACCCUCCCGCGCCGCCCCCGGCCCGCCCCAGCCCGGCCGGCCGCGCUCUGGCGCCCUGCUCCGGGAAGAUGGCUGCCGUCCGCCGGGCCCGCAGUCACUGUCGCUGCCUGGUGCGCUUCUCCGACCGAGAACUCUGCUAAGCCAGGCGGGCCGGAGGAAGAAGAAGAGACCGAGCCGCGACACCGCGCCCCUGGCAGGGAGAGGGGCAGGGCCCGCCCGACGCGGGGAGCCAGCCCCCCGCUGCCGACCCCGCGGCCGCCGCCGCAGCAGCAGCCGCCGCAGCCAGCAUGGCAGAAGCUGAAGAAGAUGAUUGUCGCUCUGAUACCAAAAGAGCCGAAGAUGAUGAAAAUACAAGUCCUGAAGAAGCUAACCUGCAGGCACAACUCCAGAUGUUUCGAGCUCAGUGGAUGUUUGAACUUGCUCCUGGGGUAGGUUCCAGUGGUUUAGAAACUCGAUCAUCCAGGGGAUCAACAAGAGGGCCUUUAGUAAAGGCCACAGAUACCAAAGGAAAGCAAGACCAGGCAAAAGAAGAAAAGGCUAGAGAACUGUUCCUGAAAGCAGUUGAAGAAGAACAAAAUGGAGCUCUCUAUGAAGCCAUCAAGUUUUAUCGUAGGGCUAUGCAGCUUGUACCUGAUAUAGAGUUCAAGAUUACUUACACUCGGUCUCCAGAUGUUGAUGGUGUUGGAAAUAGCUACAUUGAGGAUAAUGAUGAUGAUAGCAAAAUGGCAGAUUUAUUGUCCUACUUCCAGCAGCAACUCACUUUUCAGGAAUCCAUGCUCAAACUUUGUCAGCCUGAUCUCGACACCAGUCAAACGCACAUUUCAGUUUUGCCAAUGGAAGUCCUAAUGUAUAUUUUCCGAUGGGUGGUUUCUAGUGAUUUGGAUCUUCGGUCAUUAGAACAGUUGUCUCUCGUGUGCAGAGGAUUCUAUAUUUGUGCCAGGGACCCUGAAAUCUGGCGUUUAGCCUGCUUGAAAGUUUGGGGCAGAAGUUGUAUUAAACUUGUUCCUUACACCUCCUGGAGAGAGAUGUUUUUAGAACGGCCCCGUGUUCGGUUUGAUGGAGUUUAUAUCAGCAAAACAACAUAUAUACGUCAAGGCGAACAGUCACUUGAUGGUUUCUAUCGGGCCUGGCACCAAGUGGAAUAUUACAGAUAUAUGAGAUUCUUUCCUGAUGGUCAAGUUCUGGUGCUGACGACCCCGGAAGAGCCACAGUCCAUUGUUCCCCGUUUACGAACUAAGAAUAGCAGAACUGAUGCAAUCCUACUUGGUCAUUAUCGCUUGUCCCAGGACACAGACAAUCAAACCAAAGUAUUUGCUGUGAUAACCAAGAAAAAAGAAGAAAAACCAAUUGACUACAAAUAUAGGUAUUUUCGUCGAGUCCCUGUGCAAGAAACAGAUCAGAGUUUUCAUGUUGGUCUCCAGCUCUGUUCCAGUGGCCAUCAGAGAUUCAACAAGCUUGUCUGGAUACAUCAUUCCUGCCACAUUACUUACAACAUUUCAUGAAGACCAUCUACUAAGGCAUGCGAGGGGUGGUGAUCUUCAACCAGGGAAGGAGUACCCCGCACCAGUGAAACUGCGGACCUUUUGAAAUCAACUGGUGAGACUGCCGUCACAGCUUUUGAAAUUGACAAGAUGUAUACCCCCUUAUUCUUUGCCAGAGUGAAGAGUUUUACUGCAUUCUCAGAAAAACCUCUUUAAGAGUUUUACAUCUUUCCUCUAUAACUCUUGCAUGGGUCUAAAGUGUAGAGCAAAAGAGCACUUAAGUUAUGAAUAUGUAUAUAUUUGGAACUUAUUUUAAAUUGUUGAGGUUCUUUUGAGAAAAGUAUAAACUGAUAUUUUUAUUUUGGGGUAGUUGAUUUGCGAAAGUGUUUUGUUUUGAAAUUAAGAUUAUGAGUUGUCUUAAGCAUUUAUGUUGUCAGAAACAAUAUGAACUGUUUUAAUCAUGUCAUUUUUCAAGCAGGUCUAUAAGCAGUUAUCUUUAAAGCAAAACUUCAUCUGCCUGAUGACUAUAAUAUUUACUUGAGUCAGGGAUGGGCUCUACUGAAAAAGAAUUUUGCUGCACAUGCAACAUAUAGCAUAUGUGCUCUGAAGACUUAAAAUGCAAAAAAACCAACAAAGCAAAACGUUGUUCUACAUUUGUUUGAAACAAGAGAUUCUAAAUAAAUGUUUCUUUCA